GACGAACGCUGGCGGCGCGCCUAACACAUGCAAGUCGAACGAUUAGAGCCCCUUCGGGUGUGUAUCACGUGGCGCAAGGCGGAGUAAAACGUGGGAAAACUGUCCCCUUCAUUGUGAUAGAACCGGAGGAAAGUGGGGAAAACAGAAUACAUGGAGACUUCCGCAUGGAAGAGGCGAGAAAGCUCCCGGCGGGUGGGGUUGGACCCGCGGCUGAUCAGCUUGUUGGGGGGGUACGGGCUUACCAAGGCAUGGAGGGGUAGCCGGGCUGAGAGGGUGACCGGCCAGAUUGGGACUGAGAUACGGCCCAGACUCCUACGGGAGGCAGCAGUGGGGAAUCUUGCACAAUGGGCGGAAGCCUGAUGCAGCGACGCCGCGUGCGGGAUGAAGGCCUUCGGGUUGUAAACCGCUUUCAGCAGUGACGAGGCGAAAGUGACGGUACUGGCAGAAGAAGCCCCGGCUAACUACGUG
rnacentral:rRNA from 1 species